UAUUUUUAGGGAACUGCUCUCAAAUAUGAAUAAUGAAGAAGAAAGAUCAGUUACAAGAAAACGAUCACAACCUAAUACAAGCCCAAUUAAAAGACUUUAUUCUGUUGUGACAAUCAUUGAAGAUGAAAAACAAAAGAAAAUGACUGUACCUGUGCAUUGGGUAGAUGAACUCAAAAAUGUUGUAUAUUGGCCUCCAAAGGACAAAAAACAAAUAAACUACUAUAUUAGUAAUUGGGUUUCACCUGAUAAAGGAUGGAAAGAAUAUAUAUUAUUAAAAAUAAAUAUUGACAAGGGAACAAAGGAGAUGUGCGAUGUUUGCAUGAAGUUUGACUCAGAGUCUUCCAAUUCUGAUUUUCAGGAAACAGAAUGUAAUAGUGCAACAUACAGCAAUCGUUUUCACAUUAGAGAAAAAAGUCCUGACAUUACAGUUGAAAAGGUUUAUUAUUUUCUUCAAGAUUAUUUAUUAAAUCUCCUAGCAAACAUCCUAAGAUAGUAUCUACUCAGAAAUAUCAAGAAGAGAAUGUUUUGAAUUUAGAAGAAGAUUUAGAUUUUUCAAAUUUCUAUCAAAGCAAUACAGUUUAAUCUAGUUUGUCAUCUGUUUGUCAACAUGGUUCAUUUUUGGAACCAGUUCAAAAAACUAUUCCAAGAGGCAUUGGUGGUACUUUUUUUUAUGACAAACCACCAGCUAGCUUUAAACCGAUGGAUGAAAGGCGUUUUCAAUAUGCAAUAUUUAUGGAGUUAGCAAGUAUAAAAUCUGAAAUACAAAAAUCUUUAUGUGCAGUGGAAAAGCUGGGAAGAAGGACUGAGCCUGAAAUAUUUUUAGAUAAUAAAGAAAAGUUUCAUUUGUUGGUCCGUCAACUUAAACAAAUAGGUGGUAGUUCAAUUUCAGCCUCAGUUAAUAAAGUUUUAGAUGAAACAAUGUCUAAAAAUGUUCAAUCGUUAUUUAACAAAGCAGGAAGACAUGGCAAAAGAUCAUUUAGAAAAACAUUAUUGUAUAAAGCAAUUAUUGCUUAAACGGAAUAGUUUAUUUAGUUGUAACAAUCAUUGAUUAUAAAAAAUUUUGGAAAAUGACUGCAAAUUAGCAUUAAUUUUUAAAUGAAACAGUACAACAUUACAAUUCUUUGUAAGAGAAGCAAGUCUUGAUAUUAAAGUGCAAAAGGUUGCGGAAUGUAAGUUUUUCAAAGAGUGUUAUCUGGUUUAAUUAAAAGUUUAGUUUAGAAUAAAACCAGAUAAAUAUUUUUCAUCAAGUUAGAAAAUAUGUUAGUAUUUCCAACACGUUAAUAAAUAAUAUAUGGAACUUUUUUUCACCAAGUUAAAAAAGACUUACCAAAAAGCAUUACUGGAAUUUAUUGUUAUGAUGAACUGUCAUCAAGUUUUAAGCCUAUGGGUGGAACAUAAACAUUAGUGUCGCAUGCAUCAAAGUUCGAUUUGGUCGAUAAGUAGAAGAUCAUUUGAAGAGAGCUCUUAAUAGAGUAGCAUAACAAUUAUUUUAUUACAUUUUUGUAUGUUUAUAUUGUAAAUGUUUGAUUUUUUAUUUUUGUAUGCUUAUAUUAUAAAUAAA
rnacentral:misc_RNA from 1 species